UUUCCACGUUAAGACAAGUUUUUAUUUCCCACUGUAAAAUAGUGCGAAAUAAAUAAUUUCCGUUUAGAAUUUUUAGGGUACCAAUCACGGUACGUUUGCUAUAAGCUCAUUUUCUUAUCUUCGGUUUCGCUUUAUCAGCCAAGACGCAAAGAAAAAGUGGGAAAGUGAGUGGAGAUGGUUGAAUGGUGAUCCUCUAUGUCAAUUGAUGCUGAAAAUUAACACUGAUCACCAUCAUUGAAACGAAAGACAAAUCAGAUGCUGAAAGGGUUUUGAUGGAUGACAUUAGUCGAAAUCUAGAACCUUUUCGAGGAGAGGGAACAUGUUUAGGUGUAAAGUCCAUUGGUCUGAACGAAGAAGAUGGAGAGUACAUUACAAAGAUAAAGGAGUUACAGGACCACCUUGACAUGGUAUUUCUGAAUUGAGUUUUCUUUUCGUCAUUUUUUCUUUUUCUUCCCUUUUUCUCCAUGUUUGACUUCGUAUAAUUGUUUAACUUUAUUAUUUUACUGAAGGUCAAUUUUUAUUUUCCCUUU